rnacentral:lncRNA from 1 species
CCGCGCGCGGGGGGCGGGGGCGGGUCCCCGCGGACGCCCGACCCGCGGCGCCGGCGGCGCGAGCUCCGCGCCGCGCUGAGUCCCGAAGGGGGCACUUCUUAACCGUAGCGGGGCUUAAGGAGCUGCGGCCUGCGGCGCGUGGGGCCCAGGUAGGCGGGUUUCUGAGCCUCGCCCAGGCCGAGCCAGGGGCCGCAGCCCGUCCGGGCCCACUGCGGUCUCCGCCUGGAGCCGGCGGGCACCACGGGCGUUCUCCUGCAGCCCGGCUACCCGGGGCGUCGGGGUCGCGGAGAGCCGCGUUGGCGUCCCAGGACGGCCUUCCAGGGGCUCAACUCUCCAGUCCUCUAGUUCUGGAAAAGGGAUCAGCCAUCCUGAGCUCGCUGCGGGGACAAGAAGCAAGAGCCCGCUGCGCGGGGAAGCACGCUGUGAACCUCGGGCCUGAGAAGGCGGCGGUCCGGCCUCGGGGCGGCUGCUGGGGAGUUUUCUGGACGCCUCACCUCAGGCUCCACACCCAACAUCGGGCCUGAACUCAUGACCCUGAGAUCAAGAGUUGUAUGCUAUACCGACUGAUACAGCCAGGCACUCCUGAACAUGUUCUCAUUGUUGGUGGAAACCCAAAAUCUCUGGGUGCCUGCGUCAUAGCACAACUCAGAAGCCACCUCCCAUGUCCCCCUUGGGAGCCCCAUGGCAGAGCGGCCCGCCUAGGCCAUCCAGCAAGGCCUCCCAGCCACAGGCCUAGCAGUAGGCAGGCUGCACAUGUCCUGACGCUGUUGGCUCCACUCGGUCUGGGUGUGGUGGGGCUGUGUCAAGAGAAAGCAAGGUGGUUGGGGUCCAGCGGUGGGUGGGGUGGCUUCUGUUCCUUACUUUGGGGUGAAGUGACCAAAACAAGCAGACCUCAGGGAGAAGAAUGUGAAAAAGGAGGCUAAGAAGAAAUGACCAUUUGUCGAGCACCUACUAUUCCCUGGAGGCCCUUGGCGAACUUCAUCUCAGCUCACCACCGCCCAGAGAAACAGGAGUUAGGGUCAUCCCCAUUCCACAGAACCCGAAGCUGGCUCAGAGAGGACACAUUUGCCCAAGAUGACAGCCGACAGAGCUAGGCUUUGAAGCCUGUUCCAUCUGUCCUAAAGCACAUGCUUUUCCCUUAAUGCCAUAGCUACCCUGGAGAAAAAGGAGGAAAAAAAAAGAAGGAAGGAAGGCAGGAUAGAAAGAGGCCCGGCUCAGGGAGAGUCACACAGAGAGGAAAAUAAAGAGAGGCAAAAAAUAAAAAACA